rnacentral:rRNA from 1 species
AGUGAACGCUGGCGGUAGGCCUAACACAUGCAAGUCGAACGGCAGCACAGUAAGAGCUUGCUCUUACGGGUUGCGAGUGGCGUACGGGUGAGGAAUACAUCGGAAUCUACUUUUUCGUGGGGGAUAACGUAGGUAAACUUACGCUAAUACCGCAUACGACCCACGGGUGAAAGCAGGGGAUCUUCGGACCUUGCGCGAUUGAAUGAGCCGAUGUUGGAUUAGCUAGUUGGCGGGGUAAAGGCCUACCAAGGCGACGAUCCGUAGCGGGUCUGUGAGGAUGAUCAGCCACACUGGAACUGAGACACGGUCCAGACUCCUACGGGAGGCAGCAGUGGGGAAUAUUGGACGAUGGGCGAAAGCCUGAUCCAGCCAUACCGCGUGAGUGAAGAAGGACUUCGGGUUGUAAAGCCCUUUUGUUGGGAAAGAAAAGCAGCAGGUUAAUACGCCGCUGUUCUGACGGUACCCAAAGAAUAAGCACCGGCUAACUUCGUG